GCCUCGAUGGCGCAGAAGGCAGCGCGUGAGUCUUAAAUCUCAAGGUCGUGAGUUCGAUCCUCACUCGGGGCA
rfam:Ciona savignyi cont_26564, whole genome shotgun sequence.